rnacentral:rRNA from 1 species
AUUGAACGCUGGCGGCAGGCCUAACACAUGCAAGUCGAACGAGUGGCGGACGGGUGAGUAAUGUCUGGGAAACUGCCUGCUGGAGGGGGAUAACUACUGGAAACGGUAGCUAAUACCGCAUACCCUCAGAUGUGCCCAGAUGGGAUUAGCUAGUUGGUGGGGUAACGGCUCACCAAGGCGAAGAUCCCUAGCUGGUCUGAGAGGCUGACGAGACAAACUGGAACUGAGACACGGUCCAGACUCCUACGGAAGGCAGAAGUGGGGAAUAUUGCACAAUGGGCGAAAGCCUGAUGCAGCAAUGCCGCGUGUAUGAAGAAGGCCUUCGGGUGGUAAAGUACUUUCAGCGGGGAGGCGUUACCCGCAGAAGAAGCACCGGCUAACUCCGUGCCAGCAGCCGCGGUAAUUC